rnacentral:rRNA from 1 species
AGCGUUACUCGGAUUGACUGGGCGUAAAGGGCGCGUAGGCGGAUGGUACAGUCAGACGUGAAAUUCCUGGGCUCAACCUGGGGGCUGCGUUUGAUACGUGCUGUCUGGAGUUCGGAAGAGGGUCGUGGAAUUCCCAGUGUAGAGGUGAAAUUCGUAGAUAUUGGGAAGAACACCGGUGGCGAAGGCGGCGACCUGGUCCGAUACUGACGCUGAGGCGCGAAAGCGUGGGGAGCAAACAGG